AUGGGAUCAAAUCUGCCUGGUUUUCUUUGCUUUAAAAGUGUUGCGGGGUUAUUCUAUCUACUAUCAUCAAGAAAAUUUGGCUAUAUCUACUUCAUUACCUACUUGUAUUUUUCUAGUAAGCACUUUGUUCUAUUCAUAAAUGUUUCCAAAGCUACUUCAUUACUUGCUUUUAAAUUUCUCGCACUUUGGACCAAAAUUGAAAAUACCUUCUUUUCUAUUUUCUGGUUCACAGAAUUAAAAGGAAUUGUGUUUAUCAUCCAGAGUCAAAGUAAUUCUUUUCAUUCCAAGAGAGCAGAAGACCUAAAAAGAGAUAUUUUAAAACAGGCUGCAGAUCUUGGAAAGGAAUUGCCUACGGUUCUGCUUAUUCAUGAGAUGGAUGGGCAUGAAGGUGCAUGGACAAUAUUACCAUUAAUGAGAGACUUCUCUGUUACCUAUGGUAGGAACUCCUCAUGGAUUUUCUUCUGUGAAGAAGAUACGAGAAUACAAGUUGUAAAGCUGCUAGAAACACUUGGAAGAUUUGACGGGUCUAAGGAGUGGUUUUUAGGUAAAGCAUUAUAUGAUGAAGAAUCGACAAUAAUUCACCAUUAUGCCUUUGCCGAAAAUCCUACAGUCUUUAAAUUUCCAGAUUUUGCUGCUGGUUGGGCACUUAGCAUUCCACUUGUUAACAAGCUUGCAAAGAAGUUGAAAAGUGAACCACUCAAGUCAGACUUUACAAUAGAUUUAAAGCAUGAGAUUGCCCUGUAUAUUUGGCAGAGAGGGGAAGGACCACAUCUUACUCCAGUGCCUGAGUUCUGCACAGAUGAUGUGAACUCAUAUAAGGUUGAACAUUGUGCAACAACAUUCAGUAAUUUUCUGCCACUUUGUGGAGAGCCAGUGAAAAAGGAAGAUGUUUUUGUUGCUGUAAAAACAUGUCGGAAAUUUCAUGGUGACAGAAUACCAGUUGUAAAGCAGACUUGGGAAAGAGAAGCUGCCCUUAUUGAAUACUACAGUGAUUAUGCAGACAUCUCCAUUCCUACUAUAGAUUUAGGCAUACCUAAUACUGACAGAGGUCACUGUGGGAAAACUUUUGCCAUUUUAGAAAGGUUUAUAAAUCAUAGCUCUCCCAGAACUCCUUGGUUAGUUGUAGUGGAUGAUGACACACUAAUAAGUAUCUUCAGACUCCGAAAAUUGCUCAGCUGCUAUGAUCCAAAUGAACCAGUAUUUCUUGGAGAGCGUUAUGGUUACGGCUUGGGAACAGGAGGAUAUAGUUAUAUCACUGGCGGAGGAGGAAUGGUCUUCAGCAGAAUAGCUGUUCAGAAACUACUUGCUAGUAAAUGCCGGUGUUACAGCAUGGAUGCGCCUGAUGAUAUGGUCCUUGGGAUGUGUUUCAGUGGCUUAGGAAUCCCUAUAACACACAGUCCACUUUUCCAUCAGGCAAGGCCAAUGGACUACCCGAAGGGUUACCUUUCUCACCAAAUUCCAGUAUCAUUUCACAAACAUUGGAAUAUUGAUCCAGUGAAGGUAUAUUUCACAUGGCUGGCACCAAACACAGAAGAGUCGCUUAAUGGAAAGAAAGUUAGAUAUAACAGAGAGGAUUUAUAAGCAGUAGAAGAAUGUAUGUGUCAAUUCAUGUACUGCAGAUAAGAGACAGUCACUACUGUGAUUUUUGUGGUGUUUUCACGUUGUUCAUCUCUUCGUGACAUAGAAGAAAAUGUUUUGUUCCCAUUUGUUGCAUUCCUUCAGAGCAAUGGAAGAAGGCACCUAAAUUGACUUUUGGAUUCUUUUGUUACACUUGUUUUCUUUUUAAAAUGUUUUUGGGAUUUGUAUACCAAUGAACUUGACACGCAUUUAAAAUGUCUCAUAUAACUUCACCUGUGUUCUGGUUUGGAGUUUGAGUCAGACAACAUCAAUUUACAUUUCCUUCCUUUGUUCUCCCAAAAGCUGAAGUGUAUUUGGGAGCCUGAUAUUGAACAUGUGUUGAACAUCUAUUGAACAUCAUCUCCCACAGAGCUACAGAAAAUUGUUCUCUAAACUGUUCUGGAACAGGUUCUUAAUAAAUCAGAGAGGAGACAUGAUAUUGUUUCUGUG
rnacentral:lncRNA from 1 species